GGAGAAUUGACCGAGCGGUUUAAGGUGCACGCUUGGAAAGCGUGUAUACCGAAAGGUAUCGAGGGUUCGAAUCCCUUGUUCUCCGCCA
rnacentral:tRNA from 1 species